GAUGAAGAACGUAGCGAAACGCGAUAUGUAAUGUGAAUUGCAGAAUUCAGUGAAUCAUCGAAUCUUUGAACGCACAUUGCGCCCUUUGGCAUUCCGAAGGGCACACCUGUCCGAGCGCCGUCGCACAACUGAGGCGCAGCCUUGCGUUGGCGGGCGACUUGUGAGUAGCGAGUCGCCGCCCAAACGAGACGGCGCCGCGCCGCGGCCGACGAAGCACGAAAGCGGAAGUCGACGCGGAGGCGGUUGCCUGUAGGAAGACACAGCUUGGCCUCGGAUCAGGUGGGGAUACCCGCUGAACUUAAGCAUAUCAAUAAGCGGAGGA
rnacentral:misc_RNA from 1 species